rnacentral:misc_RNA from 1 species
GAAAUGCGAUAAGUAGUGUGAAUUGCAGAAUUCAGUGAAUCAUCGAAUCUUUGAACGCACAUUGCGCCCCUCGGUAUUCCGUGGGGCAUGCCUGUUCGAGCGUCAUCUACACCCUCAGGCCCCCGGGCCUGGCGUUGGGGAUCGGCGGAAGCCCCCUGCGGGCACAACGCCGUCCCCCAAAUACAGUGGCGGUCCCGCCGCAGCUUCCAUUGCGUAGUAGCUAACACCUCGCAACUGGAGAGCGGCGCGGCCACGCCGUAAAACACCCAACUUCUGAAUGUUGACCUCGAAUCAGGUAGGAAUACCCGCUGAACUUAAGC